GACGUAGGGACCGAGCGUUGUCCGGAUUCAUUGGGCGUAAAGCGCGCGCAGGCGGCUUCGUAGGUCGGGUGUGAAAACCAGAGGCUCAACCUCUGGCCUGCACCCGAAACCACGUCGCUAGAGGCAGGUAGGGGAGAUCGGAAUUCCUGGUGUAGCGGUGAAAUGCGCAGAUAUCAGGAGGAACACCGGUGGCGAAGGCGGAUCUCUGGGCCUGUCCUGACGCUGAGGUGCGAAAGCUAGGGGAGCGAACAGG
rnacentral:rRNA from 1 species